GCGAGCCCACCCCGAGA
rnacentral:rRNA from 1 species